CCGCAUGGACGACCGUGCGCGCUUUCCGAUUCACCGGGGACGGCCCCA
rnacentral:ncRNA from 1 species